rnacentral:rRNA from 1 species
AAACCAACAGGGAUUGCCUCAGUAACGGCGAGUGAAGCGGCAAAAGCUCAAAUUUGAAAUCCUCAGGGAAUUGUAUUUUGAAGGUUGACAGAGAUUGAAGGAUUCUUCUUAAGUUCAUUGGAAAAUGACGCCAUAGAGGGUGAUAGCCCCGUGAAGAAACCAA